rnacentral:rRNA from 1 species
AACGUAGGACACAAGCGUUAUCCGGAGUUACUGGGCGUAAAGGGCGUGUAGGCGGAGGUGUAAGUCUAUUCUGAAAGCUCCUGGCUAAACUGGGAGAGGCGAAUGGAGACUGCAUCUCUAGAGUGAGGAAGAGGAAAGUGGAAUUCCUGGUGUAGCAGUGAAAUGCGUAGAUAUCAGGAGGAAUACCGAUGGCGAAGGCAGGUCUCUGGGCUGACACUGACGCUCAUGCACGAAAGCGUGGGGAGCAAACAGG